UUUAUAUAAGGAUACAGAGUUAACAGGAAUUCAGGACAUACCAAGCACUAUAUUAGGUACUGAGGAUACAAAGUGAAAAGCAAAAAGUAGUCCUGAUCUUUAAGGAUUUUACAGUCUAGCUUGGAUAGAAAGCAUAUAUGUAUGUAUGUAUAUAUGUCAUAACAAUAUGUUCAAAACAAAUACAUAAAUACAUGGUGAUUGGAGAAGGAAGGCACUAUCAUCUGCUGGGGGAGGGGGGAAGUAAGUGAGUAAGUGAUCAGGGAAGGCCUGAUGGGGAGAGGGAGAGAGAGAGAGACACAGAGAGAGAGACAGAGAGACAGAGACCGAGGCAGAGACAGAGAGACACAGAGAGAGAGAGAGAGAGAGAGAGAGAGAGAGAGAGAGAGAGAGAGAGAGAGAGAGAGGAGAAUAAUUUUUUUGGUUGGGAUUAGGUUGUGUAGGGCUUUAAAUAUCAAACAUCCCAGAGAUAAGAAGAAACUGUGGUUUACCAAGGAUUCAGUAAAGUAAAUCAUCAGAUUUGUAUUUUAGAGAAAUAAUUUUGACAGUUGUGGGAAAGACAGGCUGGGGAAAGGAGAUAUUUGAGACAAGGAGGCCAGUUAGGAGAUAAUUCUAAUAGAAUUAUUAGUUGAGGGGCAGUUGAGGGGCAGAACUAUAGUGGAGAGUAUGUGAGAGGAGAGAAAGAGAUUUAGGGCUCAGGAGAAGCUUUCUGUUUGCUGCUUGCUGUUCUCCAUCACCAUGAAUCCUCACUGACAAGAGCAGUUGAUAUUCCCGGUGAACUAGGGGCUAUUAUUCCCAGAAUACAUGAAGAACCAAAGGCUGAGAAAGUUCCAUAGAGACUCUGCCUCCAGGCUUCAGAAGUUUUCUUGGUCCUCAACAACCAGUUUGGCCACAGCCCUUCAGGAGCAAAUGCAUGCUGGGAGCUGCAAUUUGGAAGCAUCAAUGCUACAAAAUUCAGAACUGCUGGUUCCAGGGAAAGCCAGCUCUUCUGGUGCUAAGAAAAGUGGGCUCUUAACUGCUGAUGUGGGGCCAGAGAACAAAAUAACCAAGUGGAAUCUCUGA
rnacentral:lncRNA from 1 species